rfam:Schistosoma mansoni strain Puerto Rico chromosome 1, complete genome
AUCCAUCUGACGAGUCCCAAAUAGGAUGAAACACUCGUCAAACUGUAU